rnacentral:rRNA from 1 species
AGAGUUUGAUCCUGGCUCAGGAUGAACGCUGGCGGCGUGCCUAACACAUGCAAGUCGAGCGAUUCUCUUCGGAGAAGAGCGGCGGACGGGUGAGUAACGCGUGGGUAACCUGCCCUGUACACACGGAUAACAUACCGAAAGGUAUGCUAAUACGGGAUAAUAUAUAAGAGUCGCAUGACUUUUAUAUCAAAGAUUUUUCGGUACAGGAUGGACCCGCGUCUGAUUAGCUUGUUGGCGGGGUAACGGCCCACCAAGGCGACGAUCAGUAGCCGACCUGAGAGGGUGAUCGGCCACAUUGGAACUGAGACACGGUCCAAACUCCUACGGGAGGCAGCAGUGGGGAAUAUUGCACAAUGGGCGCAAGCCUGAUGCAGCAACGCCGCGUGAGCGAUGAAGGCCUUCGGGUCGUAAAGCUCUGUCCUCAAGGAAGAUGAUGACGGUACUUGAGGAGGAAGCCCCGGCUAACUACGUGCCAGCAGCCGCGGUAAUACGUAGGGGGCUAGCGUUAUCCGGAUUUACUGGGCGUAAAGGGUGCGUAGGCGGUCUUUCAAGUCAGGAGUUAAAGGCUACGGCUCAACCGUAGUAAGCUCCUGACACUGUCUGACUUGAGUGCAGGAGAGGAAAGCGGAAUUCCCAGUGUAGCGGUGAAAUGCGUAGAUAUUGGGAGGAACACCAGUAGCGAAGGCGGCUUUCUGGACUGUAACUGACGCUGAGGCACGAAAGCGUGGGGAGCAAACAGGAUUAGAUACCCCGGUAGUCCACGCUGUAAACGAUGAGUACUAGGUGUCGGAGGUUACCCCCUUCGGUGCCGCAGCUAACGCA